CUUAUAUCUGAUGGCAAGUUGCCAACAUAAAUUGUCCGAGAAAAGCGGCCACUCAUUUCUGCUACCACAGGAAUAUAGCAAAGCUUUCACGAAAGAGCUGAGAGCAAGAGUAGAGAAACGGACUGGUGUGGAGCGAGCAAUCCAGUCCACAGGCUUCGUUCAGCGAACCGAGCAGCUUGCGUUGAUGCAGCUUCAGGAGGGUCUAGGGUUUCUUUUCGUGGCUUCUGUCAAG
rnacentral:misc_RNA from 1 species